rnacentral:rRNA from 1 species
UUAAGCGACUAAGCGUACACGGUGGAUGCCCUGGCAGUCAGAGGCGAUGAAGGACGUGCUAAUCUGCGAUAAGCGUCGGUAAGGUGAUAUGAACCGUUAUAACCGGCGAUUUCCGAAUGGGGAAACCCAGUGUGUUUCGACACACUAUCAUUAACUGAAUCCAUAGGUUAAUGAGGCGAACCGGGGGAACUGAAACAUCUAAGUACCCCGAGGAAAAGAAAUCAACCGAGAUUCCCCCAGUAGCGGCGAGCGAACGGGGAGGAGCCCAGAGCCUGAAUCAGUGUGUGUGUUAGUGGAAGCGUCUGGAAAGGCGCGCGAUACAGGGUGACAGCCCCGUACACAAAAAUACACAUACUGUGAGCUCGAUGAGUAGGGCGGGACACGUGGUAUCCUGUCUGAAUAUGGGGGGACCAUCCUCCAAGGCUAAAUACUCCUGACUGACCGAUAGUGAACCAGUACCGUGAGGGAAAGGCGAAAAGAACCCCGGCGAGGGGAGUGAAAAAGAACCUGAAACCGUGUACGUACAAGCAGUGGAAGCACGCUUAGGCGUGUGACUGCGUACCUUUUGUAUAAUGGGUCAGCGACUUAUAUUCUGUAGCAAGGUUAACCGAAUAGGGGAGCCGAAGGGAAACCGAGUCUUAACUGGGCGUUAAGUUGCAGGGUAUAGACCCGAAACCCGGUGAUCUAGCCAUGGGCAGGUUGAAGGUUGGGUAACACUAACUGGAGGACCGAACCGACUAAUGUUGAAAAAUUAGCGGAUGACUUGUGGCUGGGGGUGAAAGGCCAAUCAAACCGGGAGAUAGCUGGUUCUCCCCGAAAGCUAUUUAGGUAGCGCCUCGUGAAUUCAUCUCCGGGGGUAGAGCACUGUUUCGGCAAGGGGGUCAUCCCGACUUACCAACCCGAUGCAAACUGCGAAUACCGGAGAAUGUUAUCACGGGAGACACACGGCGGGUGCUAACGUCCGUCGUGAAGAGGGAAACAACCCAGACCGCCAGCUAAGGUCCCAAAGUCAUGGUUAAGUGGGAAACGAUGUGGGAAGGCCCAGACAGCCAGGAUGUUGGCUUAGAAGCAGCCAUCAUUUAAAGAAAGCGUAAUAGCUCACUGGUCGAGUCGGCCUGCGCGGAAGAUGUAACGGGGCUAAACCAUGCACCGAAGCUGCGGCAGCGACGCUGAUGCGUUGUUGGGUAGGGGAGCGUUCUGUAAGCCUGCGAAGGUGUGCUGUGAGGCAUGCUGGAGGUAUCAGAAGUGCGAAUGCUGACAUAAGUAACGAUAAAGCGGGUGAAAAGCCCGCUCGCCGGAAGACCAAGGGUUCCUGUCCAACGUUAAUCGGGGCAGGGUGAGUCGACCCCUAAGGCGAGGCCGAAAGGCGUAGUCGAUGGGAAACAGGUUAAUAUUCCUGUACUUGGUGUUACUGCGAAGGGGGGACGGAGAAGGCUAUGUUGGCCGGGCGACGGUUGUCCCGGUUUAAGCGUGUAGGCUGGUUUUCCAGGCAAAUCCGGAAAAUCAAGGCUGAGGCGUGAUGACGAGGCACUACGGUGCUGAAGCAACAAAUGCCCUGCUUCCAGGAAAAGCCUCUAAGCAUCAGGUAACAUCAAAUCGUACCCCAAACCGACACAGGUGGUCAGGUAGAGAAUACCAAGGCGCUUGAGAGAACUCGGGUGAAGGAACUAGGCAAAAUGGUGCCGUAACUUCGGGAGAAGGCACGCUGAUAUGUAGGUGAAGUCCCUCGCGGAUGGAGCUGAAAUCAGUCGAAGAUACCAGCUGGCUGCAACUGUUUAUUAAAAACACAGCACUGUGCAAACACGAAAGUGGACGUAUACGGUGUGACGCCUGCCCGGUGCCGGAAGGUUAAUUGAUGGGGUCAGCGCAAGCGAAGCUCUUGAUCGAAGCCCCGGUAAACGGCGGCCGUAACUAUAACGGUCCUAAGGUAGCGAAAUUCCUUGUCGGGUAAGUUCCGACCUGCACGAAUGGCGUAAUGAUGGCCAGGCUGUCUCCACCCGAGACUCAGUGAAAUUGAACUCGCUGUGAAGAUGCAGUGUACCCGCGGCAAGACGGAAAGACCCCGUGAACCUUUACUAUAGCUUGACACUGAACAUUGAGCCUUGAUGUGUAGGAUAGGUGGGAGGCUUGGAAGUGUGGACGCCAGUCUGCAUGGAGCCGACCUUGAAAUACCACCCUUUAAUGUUUGAUGUUCUAACGUGGACCCGUGAUCCGGGUUGCGGACAGUGUCUGGUGGGUAGUUUGACUGGGGCGGUCUCCUCCUAAAGAGUAACGGAGGAGCACGAAGGUUGGCUAAUCCUGGUCGGACAUCAGGAGGUUAGUGCAAUGGCAUAAGCCAGCUUGACUGCGAGCGUGACGGCGCGAGCAGGUGCGAAAGCAGGUCAUAGUGAUCCGGUGGUUCUGAAUGGAAGGGCCAUCGCUCAACGGAUAAAAGGUACUCCGGGGAUAACAGGCUGAUACCGCCCAAGAGUUCAUAUCGACGGCGGUGUUUGGCACCUCGAUGUCGGCUCAUCACAUCCUGGGGCUGAAGUAGGUCCCAAGGGUAUGGCUGUUCGCCAUUUAAAGUGGUACGCGAGCUGGGUUUAGAACGUCGUGAGACAGUUCGGUCCCUAUCUGCCGUGGGCGCUGGAGAACUGAGGGGGGCUGCUCCUAGUACGAGAGGACCGGAGUGGACGCAUCACUGGUGUUCGGGUUGUCAUGCCAAUGGCACUGCCCGGUAGCUAAAUGCGGAAGAGAUAAGUGCUGAAAGCAUCUAAGCACGAAACUUGCCCCGAGAUGAGUUCUCCCUGACUCCUUGAGAGUCCUGAAGGAACGUUGAAGACGACGACGUUGAUAGGCCGGGUGUGUAAGCGCAGCGAUGCGUUGAGCUAACCGGUACUAAUGAACCGUGAGGCUUAACCUU